UUUGAGGCGAUAAUUUCCCUUGUUUAUGCUCUUUCAAGUCUUCUGGUAACAGUCCACAGGGGAGGAACCCAACAUUGCUUCUCCCGGAUGAAGCCAAAGCCUGUUUGUGAGCUGGACUGGAUUUGCAGCUGAGGGAGCAGCUUCUUGUGCCAAGGCUAUCAACCUGUCCUCUCAGUAACAAGGCUCUUGUCCCAGACAACUCCUCCAGACAAUGCCUGCGUAACUGGAGGAAGCCAAGACCUCUCUCUGAUAAGGUUUUGUUCAUUGCCUCUGGUCCUGUCACAGUCCUGUUGCUGCAGAGAAGAGUCUGACUCAUUCUUCUUUCCUUCUCACCACAGCUAUCAGAGAGGACAUGAAUUAUCAUUCUGACACCAGAUCUGACAUCCAGAGGAGUGGAGGAAGAGUUUGGACUUGUGUGCACUGAGCUGAGAACCACCUCUCUUUGAUUCUGUGAUCCUUCCUCACUGCCAUGCGGACAGAAAGUAACUCUUCCCACACUACCACAAGAGAGAAGAAAGACUGCAGGGUGAAUGACUUCACAGCCACCUGGGCAUUCUCCUGGAUGUAGGUGCUGCCAAUGCAUCACUCACCCACCACCCCCAGGAUGACAUCAAGCUUGCAGGAAAUUGGCUUCAGCAAUAGCAGCUAUCCCUAAAGCAUCAUUUCCAGCUCCUGCCGCUGGAAGUGGUUCAGUUCCUGUCCUUUGGAGCUAUGACUGAUUCUAACUCAACCUAUCUCAGUUGCUGGGGUUGCCUUUGCACCAGCAGACAGUUCCUUUGCACUGGGAUUAAAUCCUGCCUGGUGGCCCUCUUGAACAAAGAUGAUGACAGACCUCUGAAAGUGGUAUUUUCCAGAAAUUCAGACAACCAUGGUCUUUCAGAAGAUUACAGCAGUAAGAAAAACGAGGAUUUUACAGCCUGAUAACAAGGCCCAAAUAAAGAAUUACCUCUGCUGAUGAAUAGUCUUUUCCAAAAAAAACAAGAACUUCUGUUUACAAGCUAAGAAGGCCACAAGAACAUCUGGGUCCUGUCAUCUAGAUUACAAGAGCUAUUCUGGCCCACACUGAAUAGUUUCCAUGCAAGGACAGUAUUGAGGAAUAUAGCAGCAGCUCUGCUCCAUGAACUGUCCAGACAGCAGAGAAAGGAUCAUCAGCAAAAUUCUUUCUGAAGAAAACCAGUUGGCUUUUACUGAAGAUUACUGACCAUUAGAGUGUGACACCAACAACCAUUUGAACGUUUCCUACUUUCUGUCACUAAGUUAAAAAUCUGCGUGUAUUGUUCACAGUAAGUCUUAGGAUUUUAAUGGUUUAAUGUCUGAUUUCAAUAUCACUGUAAUGACAUUCUUUCUUUUCAUCAAAAUUCCUCUUCUGAAUCACUGCCAUGGACUACUUUUCAGCAGGAGCCUUCCAUUAUAAAUACUGAAGUUCACUGGAUUUGACAAUUAUUACUUCAUGGUGAAACUGUAAAAACUUCUUAAACUAAGUAACUUUUCCUUAGGCUGAAGUCAAGAAUAUCUUGUUCAUUCUCCUAUUUUUUCCCUGGACUGUGGAACUAGCUGUUCCAAGAAGCCAUCAUUUGAAUUGUUGAGAAAUUGCCUCUCAAAGAUCUGGCCUGAAAUAACAACUUGACAAUCUAUGUGCAACUAUUUGGAGUGGUAAACUACUACUUCCUUAAAAAAACAUUACAUUUAGUUUCUUCUUUGCUUUCCUUCACACUGCCUGCUCUGGAUGGUAUUUACGUACUAUAGGCAACCAAUUCAGGUAUCCAAAUUAAAAGUAUAGGCUUCUUAUGCCAUCAGUGGAAAGAGGAACAGUGCUUCAGAGGGCAAUUAAGAGUAAAACACUGAGAAAUCUGCUGCUUUGUUAAUUUAUUGGAGGACCUGGGCACUUCUGUUAAAGGCCUGGGGCAGAUUAUUAAGAUGUCUGAACCUCCACAGAGCCUUUUAUAUUUUUUUUUUGCUUUUAAUUGGGACAGAAAACAAGUACCAAAAUUUGUUAAUAGAAUGUCACUUGAAUUGCCAUUUAAAUGCAUGGAGAGUCUCUUGUUACUUGUUGGUUGCUCCUUCUAAACAUUCUCCCUUCGGAUGAUUUUUCAAGAGAAUUGCUCUUUCCCUAUUACUGUCUCAGUCAGUUCUACACAGAUUUUAACCUAAUUAGCCCACUAUUUUUUUUUUCUUUUGACUGGCUCCAGAAAAAAUGAAUUUCAUGGCUGGACAGAUAUUCUGGUUUGCCUUCAAUUGCUUUCAGCAUGUUCAUAUUAUUAUCCCUAUUUGAGGUACAGAUGAAUCUGUUUUGCUGGCAUCCCCAGUCAAUGUUGAUCUUUGGCCCUACUGCUCCUCUGCUGCUUGUGGUUUCUUCCCAAUAAAAAAUCACAACUUCCCAGGCCUCUGCCAUGUUCUCAUGCUGGCACCCUGUGUAGUUCUGCUUUGCACGCAAGGAGCCUACGCUUUUAAAAAAGCUCUCUGUCACCCCAGAAUGUUCCAGACACUACAGAAAAACAAACAAGAGCUCCAUUUAAGCCCUCUAGACAUGUUUCUGUCCAGCAGUUUUUGACUGGAACAAUUUUAAACAAAUCACGGGCAUCCUGGACCAAAGGUUUCUUUUUUCUGUGCAAUCUAGUUUCCAUGAACUCUUAUAGAACACAAGCUUCUCCCUAGCACUAAAAAGGAUCUUCUCUAACUGCUGUCCCCACAGCUGGUCAUGCAGCUGCUGAACAAU